UACGGAGGGUGCAAGCGUUAUCCGGAAUCACUGGGUUUAAAGGGCGCGUAGGUGGCUAGAUAAGUCAGAGGUGAAAGUUUGUCGCUUAACGAUAGAACUGCCUUUGAUACUGUUAAGCUUGAAAGUAGGUGAGGUUGGCGGAAUGUGACAUGUAGCGGUGAAAUGCAUAGAUAUGUCAUAGAACACCGAUUGCGAAGGCAGCCGGCUAGCCUGACUCUGACGCUGAGGCGCGAAAGCGUGGGUAGCGAACAGG
rnacentral:rRNA from 1 species